GUGAAGGAUGAAAAGGAAGAUAAUAAGCAAAAGAAAACUCUGUAUAGGAUUUUUCUUGAUUAAUACCGGUUUCAGAUUCGUGCUUUGAUUAUCUAUUAGAGUGGUAGAUGCAAUGGCUUUAGGGGUUUCGAGCAGCAAUUGUUUAGCAAAAAUACCUUCAAAUCAUUUUCGUCCAAAAAAUCAAAGAUGAUAGUUGAUGGUGGAGAUGAAGGUUUUGCUGAUCUAAUUCUGGUUUCGAUGGUGGAGUAUCCGCAUUGAAAUUCGGGUUCCAUUCAAAGUUUUCUAAUAUGGGAUCUGGAAUUGAUGUUGAUGCACAAGAGAACGAAAGAGAGAGAGAAGAAGCACGAAAGAGGCAUAAAAUGAUGUGCUUUGCAAGCCUUUGAGUUAAUAUUGCAGAACCAGAAGAACUUCACACUCCUCCAUUAUCGAUCGACGACGGCAAUCUACAAAUUGAAGCUUUACGUCCUUUUAAACAAAAAAUUCUCACCGAUUUCUCUAUUCUUUGAACUGUUGUUGCCAUUUUAUUAAGAGGACCAAAGCUGUCAUUGUUGCAACAGUUUUCCUCUCUGGCUAGGACUUGACAAAAUCAGCUUUUAUCCAAAAAACCUCGAUCUCUUAUUCCUAUUUCUUACAUAAGAAUCGAUUUUCUCUCGCUUUGUUACACGAAAUCGACUAAAGAGGUGAAAUAAUAACUACUUCUUCAUUCCCGACCAACCAAUGGCUAGUUGCUUGUUUCUGUUACCCGAGCCCAUUGUCGGCUUCCUCUUCACGCCACAAACCAGCUUCUUCUGAUCCUUCUUGUGUCAAACAGGGAGUGAAGAAUUAGCAAUCCAUCUCCGAUUAUACCAAGAGAUUUUGGUAGCUUUUUUUGAUAAGCCAGCAGCCGCUAUUUUCAGUAAUGUUCUUGGUAAGUUGAAGAAUGCCAUCAAUUGACAGUAGUAACAAGAUCUACUAUUUACAAAAUUGUUCGGAAGGGUAAGUUGCGAGAAACAAUCAAUGGAGAAAGUCAACUGACAGUAGUAACGAGAUUCAACAAGCUUUUAUUAGAAAAUUUUCCAAUCAAAUUAUGUUUUUUUUAUUGCUCAUAUGACUUUUGACGUUGUAAUCAUGAAAAGUUUGGCUGAGUUAGUUAUUUGAUGAAUAUAUCAAUAUUUAAAUUAA